GUAGGGGAGGGGCCCUCCAGAACCCAGCUGAGGGAGACACGGCUGACAGGCCGGCUAGAGUAGCCGUGGAGGAGACCUUGGCUCCCCUCCCACCAUGAAAAUAAAAUCAACCACUUUAUUUCCCAUUAAGGGAGUAACUAGAGAAGAGAGGUGGCCCUUGGGGCCUGGCUUUUUCUUUCCUGAGGGAAGAGAGCCCCAGUAGCAGAGCAGCUGUGGUGAGGGAAAGCUGUGGGUGCCUAGCUGUGGGCCCUGAGGGAGCCCUGUGGCUGGAGCCAGACACUGCUGGCAGCUUUUUGAGGCUUGCUAGCAGGUGCUAGUAUGUGGACACAUCUAAUAUAUUAGGUUGUAGUGACCUUGUGAGGUAGGAUGGAAUGUGACAAGACUUGUCUACAGGCCAGGGCUGUGAGCUGUGGUCCUUGUGAACUGCUGCCGAUGGGAUAGCUCCACUUUUUCACUGCCCAGCGCAGCCCUACUGAAGAGUAUGGCUGAGGGAUGCUGCUGUGUAUGAAGUGUAAGCUAAGAAAUAAUGUUGCUCAGAUGAAUUUAGAAACACAAGGAGGUAUGAACAUGCUUUCACCAUCAUGCAGAUUCAAGGAAUUUCAAGAACUUUCUACUGGAUUUUCAACUUUUUCCCUCUGUGUAUAAUUAUUUCAUAGUCUCACUGCAUAAGUUCAUCUCUUUCUCUUUGAAAUAUUUCUUUGGUCAGUUAUGUGUCUUCCUAUAACUUACAGUAUAAAAAGGGGAAAAUGCCUUCACUGUUAUAUGAAGAGAGUUGUUGCUUUGUAGUUCUUUUUGCAAACUUUCGUGUAAUCUGGAAGCAGGAUGGUUUCUGUAUAUGCAGUUAAUUAAUCAAAUGUUGGAAAACAUGGUACUGAAUGGAUGAAUGGACACGUACUGCUGAAAAUCCCAAGAAGUUGGGAUUGGGGUAACUGAGCACCUUUACAGAGGGGUAGGUUGCCUUUAUCACAUAUCAGACUGUGUGUGGGUAGUUCAAGAGAAGAAAAAAUGAAACGGAGAAAGAGCUCCUGAAGAGAGAACCUGAAGAGACUUCAGAAAAGGAGCCCCAAGAGAAAGCAUAGAGAAACAGAGCAGUUUAGUCAAUUGGGCUGUGGCCGUUUCAACCCUGAAAAACCCCAAAAGCUGAAAGAAUGAACGAGAAGAUGAAAUGGAGGAGAAGAGGUGAGAGAAUAACUUCAAUUGCUUAUGGGGGGGGGGGGGGAAGUCUUAAUCUGUUUGACCCAUCAUUUGAGGCAUUCUUGCAGGGGUGCAUAUGAAUUUAAGAACUGUCACUGUCAAUCACUUGUGGAGUCUUGUGGAGCAGUUUUGAGCUUGUGAAACAGCAGUGGUUUUUAUGGAACAACUCUGAAUGCAUCACUCAGCAGAUAGAUGCUGCAGGGAAACUUUUGUUCUGAGGAGUGUGUGUUUGACUCUAAUGUGCUGCCUUGCCUAACAAAUGUCAGCAUAAACCAGAGACGUGCAGAAAGGGUGAGCCAGGAAGAAGUGGGAUAGAGGCAUGGUAUGUGUGAGAACUAUGAGGAUUGGGUGAAGUUAGAGUGACUAGUGAGAAAUCUUAUUUGUUUUGCAAUGUGGCACCAUUUGGUGAUGGUAUGCCGUUGUAACUAAAAUGUUGUCUUGUGACUUCUUCUGGGUUGUUUCUUACGUUGAAGAUAAGGAUUUACAGUAACAAUCAUUACCUGGAAGUUUCGCUGAAAGUUGGGUGACUUGGAAGUGUUGAAGUAGUUAAAUGCACUGUAAAGUUCUAAACCAAACUUCACCGUUAUCUCUCUGCAAAAGAGUAGUGCGGGCAUUUAAAAUUAAAAUAGUAGAAAGGUGGAAAUGAUACGUAAGUGUGUUAAAUUUUAUUAAAAAGAAAUCAUUCCAGGAGACCUCAUUAAGCCAGGACGAUAUUCUAAAAGUGAAUAUACAUGUUGACAGCUACACCCAUAAAUUUGAAAACUGCAAACAUGUUCAGCAUAAAAGCCAUUUUUGAAAAAAGCUGUUGCUCUGCCCUUGUACUAAUUUAAGAAUUGUUCUUCUGAUUUUUAUAGUUUCUCUUCACAUAUAUAACUGGGACAGUUUAAAAAAUACUUUGAAGAAUCUUUCAUGAUGUCAUAAACUUCAUAAUGCAGAUUAUUUUUAAAAACAUAUGCAUUUUAUAAAAAUUUGAAGUGUUAAAUAAGCUCAGUAACACCAUUCUUUUCUAAAGAAGUAAAAUGAACUGUCCUUAGGCUGUACCUCUGUGUGGUGUUCUUGCAAUGUUUCCCAGGAGCAGGAAUGUUAGUUAAAAUAUCUUGACUGCAGCAUUUGUCUUGGGGAAUCGGCUCUCUUGUUCUAUUAAUGCUGUGUCUGAACACACAAAAUCUUCACGAGUACGAGGCACUUAUUUCAGUACCUCUGUGUCAGGGCACAUCCAAGGUAAAGGCAUAUUCGAGUUGUUUUCAGGAAACUAGGGACUUGCAUUAGCCCAACUUGGAGGAAGUGUAGCCAGCAUGGGAAGGCAGAGCAUUCUGCCUAUGGGCACAGACUCUACCGAGGAACAAGAUGCAGCUGGCUGUGACCUCAGGCUUGUUUUCUCAUCGGUGUGGGAGGAAGGAGGAGGAAAGGUUCUAUUGGUCCACUCUGUGUAGGUGGAAAGAAGAUGAUAUUCAGAAGCUAGAAGAAUUGUAAAUGAAGAUCAGUAAUGAGAAAUCCCACCGCAAAGAGUAUGGAAAGAUAACAAAAAGUCUUUAGGUGACUGAAAGGAACUGAGCAAGGACAAGACUUUGAGUUGGAAUAGUUCUUAGGAAGAAACAUAAAAUGUGAUUUUUCCUUUUUACAAAUUUGAGCAGGCAAGAAUAUAUUUUUUCUUACUGCUCGUAUCCAAAUUUUUUGUGUAUGAUCUGAUCACUUAUUUUUGUCAUAUUUAGCAGGUAGCUCGUAAGUCUUCUGUGGCCCUACUUUGCAUUUGCUUGAGAAGGGAUUGUUUCACACUUAGGUGUGUCUGUUCCCUUUCCUCUUCUCACAACUGGCUAGUGAUGCAGUUGUUUUCUCUACUGCAUGAACCAAUGUGAAAAUAACCUUGAAUUAAAAUAUUUUUCAUAAAAUAUUCCUCUGGCUUCUUUUCUGAGUGAUGUUGCAAUAAAGAAUCAGACAGACAAACACGAUGGAGCUUUGGCAUUUGAGAUAAAUCAGUAACUUGCCAAUAGAAACAGUACUUACGAUAAAGAUUUUGAUAUGUGGACCGAACUCUGUCAUCCUAUAGCAGUUCAAAAAUUUUGAUCGGUAGACAGUAUGUUUACUUUGAUAAUAAAUGGAAGACUGAGGUAGAACUAUAAGGUAAAUCCUCAAGGAUUCGCAUUAAUACAUGCAUGCUCAAAUAUUGAUGAGAUUCCAGUUAAGACCUUGUCUUAACAGCCAGAAAUACAGCUUUGCUGCUGAAGGGCUGUCAGGCAUGUUGCUCUGCAGAAAUGAGAUCUGCACAGAGUAAAGUUGUAAAAGGUACGGAGUUCCCAGACAAAACUGACACAGAAUCUUUCUAAUGAGAUUAAUUGCUGACAUAAUUGUGCUGUUCCUGGCCUCUUUCAAUCUAACUGAACAUAAGCUCC